rnacentral:pre_miRNA from 1 species
CUUUUACUCCCUCCGUUUCAAAAUAAGUGACUCAAAAAUGACUCAACUUUGUACUAACUUUAAUACAAAGUUGACUCACUUUUUGAGUCACUUAUUUUGGGACGGAGGGAGUAUCUU